GACGAACGCUGGCGGCGUGCUUAACACAUGCAAGUCGAACGGUGAAGGGGAGCUUGCUCCCCGGAUCAGUGGCGAACGGGUGAGUAACACGUGGGCAACCUGCCCCAGACUUCGGGAUAACGCUUCGAAAGAGGUGCUAAUACCGGAUACGAACUCCUUGGGCAUCCUGGGAGUUGGAAAGUUUUUCGGUCUGGGAUGGGCCCGCGGCCUAUCAGCUUGUUGGUGAGGUAACGGCUCACCAAGGCGACGACGGGUAGCCGGCCUGAGAGGGCGACCGGCCACACGGGGACGGAGACACGGCCCAGACUCCUACGGGGGGCAGCAGUGGGGAAUAUUGCGAAAUGGGCGAAAGCCUGACGCAGCAACGCCGCGUGAGGGAUGACGGCCUUCGGGUUGUAAACCUCUUUCAGCAGGGAAGAAGCGAAAGUGACGGUACCUGCAGAAGAAGCACCGGCUAACUACGUGCCAGCAGCCGCCGUAACAC
rnacentral:rRNA from 1 species